AACGCAUAUUGCGCCGCGCGGUACUCCGCGCGGCACGUCCGACCGAGCGCCGCUGCAACGCUCGCGGGCGCCCGCCAGCCCUCUGCGGCUGAGCGGGCGGCCCGCGGUGCUGGGACGGCCGGGGAGACCCGGCCCCCCGAAAUAGCGCGGCGGCCGGCGCGGCGAGCCCGGCGAAGUAGAACACGGCGCCUGGGGUAGCCCAGCCGGCCUGCCAGGACGCCCCUGGCGGCACCACGGAAACAAAGUUGGCCUCGGGUCGGACGAGGUUACCCGCUGAACUUAA
rnacentral:misc_RNA from 1 species